rnacentral:rRNA from 1 species
CCUACGGGUGGCAGCAGUCGAGAAUCAUUCACAAUGGGGGAAACCCUGAUGGUGCGACGCCGCGUGGGGGAAUGAAGGUCUUCGGAUUGUAAACCCCUGUCACGUGGGAGCAAAUUAAAAAGAUAGUACCACAAGAGGAAGCGACGGCUAACUCUGUACCAGCAGCCGCGGUAAUACAGAGGUCUCAAGCGUUGUUCGGAAUCACUGGGCGUAAGGCGAGCGUUGGCUGUUUCGUAAGUCGUGUGUGAAAGGCGCGGGCUCAACCCGCGCACGGCACAUGAUACUGCGAGACUAGAGUAAUGGAGGGGGAACCGGAAUUCUCGGUGUAGCAGUGAAAUGCGUAGAUAUCGAGAGGAACACUCGUGGCGAAGGCGGGUUCCUGGACAUUAACUGACGCUGAGGCACGAAGGCCAGGGGAGCGAAAGGGAUUAGAUACCCCUGUAGUC